AGGCAGGGGCGCGGCUAUCGUCACCUGAAAUCGAGUGGGAACAUUGGGGAUCUAGGGCUCGGUUCUUCUACAGAGAGGGGUGUGAAGUCUGUGAAGUCGCUGGAGUCUGUGGAGCACUCCGCCGUCGACGCUGCUCCGCCGUCGCCGCUGCUACGAGCGCUAGGAGGUGGUGAAGUCGAUGUGCGCUAGGAGAUAGAUCUGAGACGGACAUGGAGGCGGAGUGAGCGAAGAAGAAAGAGGGAGCAGAGGCGGCGGCGGCGGCGGACGGUGCUGCAUGCGCCGCCCCGGCUCGCAGCGGCCGCCGCAGACAAGAGAUAAACGGAGAUCGAGAGGGAGAGCAGAGAGAGGGCAGGGAGAAAUAGAUCUCGAAAGAGAGAGAAAGAAUGGGGUUACCUGAAACAGGGUGGAGGCGGCGGAGGAGGGUGGGUGGACGCGGAGUCGCCGCGCCGUCGCCGUGGAGGAGGGUUAGGCGG
rnacentral:lncRNA from 1 species